UGAUGUCAUCAGUCAUGCCUAAAUAAUGAAGCCUCCAUAAAAUCUCAAAAGGAUGGGAUUUGGAGAACUUCUGGAAUGCUGAGCAUGUGGAGGUGCCUGGAGAGGGCAUGGAAGCUCCACAUGCCUGCCCACAUACUUUGCACUGUGCAUCCCUUCCAUCUGGCUGUUCAUCUUUUUGAGGAAGCUGUGCUGGGAGAGUGGCUGUAUUGGAGGUGUUUCCAUUUUGAAACUACAUCUCUUAACUAAACGAGUUGAUUAGAGAAAUGAGCAAAUUAACAAGGUCAAAAGAAGGUCUUCCCUGAAGGCACAGACUUGAAGUGUUCAGCUGAUGGAGAGCCGAAUGCUAUGACAACCAGGUCCCAAGGAACUUCAGAAUCUCCAAAUGGAAGUCUCCAAAGCCCCUGAUUCACCAGAAAGAGAGAGAACCAUCCACUGGCCACCACACUGUUAUACGAGCAGAACACAAACUCCUGUUGUGUUUGAGCCUUUAAACAUUCUGGGCAGCAGAUUACCCUCUUUAAUAUACAAAAUGAUGCCUCAAAUAUGCCUACAAACAAGUAAAA